rnacentral:sRNA from 1 species
ACAGGCCCAAUAAAUAGGUCUAGUAUUCACCUCAGCUAGAAAGAAAGUCUUUUAUUUACAAAACCAAAUGCGCUGUUCACGUAACAACGUCCUAAGUUUUUAAGUUCCAGUCUAUAUUUCCAAGCACAACCGGCCCCUAUAGAGGCCAAAACUUAUCAAUUUAGGAUAUUACUAUGUCUACAGUUACAGGUACUGUUAAAUGGUUCAACGAAGCUAAAGGCUUCGGUUUCAUCGCUCAAGAAAACGGCCCAGACGUUUUCGCUCACUUCAGCGAAAUCCAAGGCGAGGGUUUCAAAACCCUAGCUGAAGGCCAAGCAGUUGAGUUCAUCGUAACUCAAGGCCAAAAAGGUCCUCAAGCUGAGAAAAUCGUUGCGAUCUAAUCGCUGAUUUUUUCUGUUUGAAAGAAAAGGCAAGCCUCGGCUUGCCUUUUUUG